rnacentral:rRNA from 1 species
AACGAACGCUGGCGGCAGGCCUAACACAUGCAAGUCGAGCGGACCCUUCGGGGUUAGCGGCGGACGGGUGAGUAACGCGUGGGAAUAUGCCCUUCUCUACAGAAUAGUCCUGGGAAACUGGGGGUAAUACCGUAUACGCCCUUUGGGGGAAAGAUUUAUCGGGGAAGGAUUAGCCCGCGUUGGAUUAGGUAGUUGGUGGGGUAAUGGCCUACCAAGCCGACGAUCCAUAGCUGGUUUGAGAGGAUGAUCAGCCACACUGGGACUGAGACACGGCCCAGACUCCUACGGGAGGCAGCAGUGGGGAAUCUUAGACAAUGGGGGCAACCCUGAUCUAGCCAUGCCGCGUGAGUGAUGAAGGCCUUAGGGUUGUAAAGCUCUUUCAGCUGGGAAGAUCAUGACGGUACCAGCAGAAGAAGCCCCGGCUAACUCCGUG